GGCACUUUGGCGGAGUGGUUAACGCGCCAGCCUGCUAAGCUGGUGCCCUUUGGGCGCGUGAGUUCGAAUCUCACAGGUGUCG
rnacentral:tRNA from 1 species